AACACCAGUGAAUUUGAGCACUGUUUCCAUUGUGUGGAACCAUGUUAGGGUAUUUAAAGUUUGAAAAGCAACCUCUAUAGUAAAACAUAAUUACAUAUGUUUCGGGAAACUAGCUAGGUUGAAUUUGGUUAUUUGAGCUUUUCCCCUGAUACAUAAACAUCUGUAACAGGGGCAAGUUGUUUUUCUUGAAGAACACGCAGAUGGUGUUUUGUUUUAUUGAGAUUUAAACGUGAGUUUCUGAGUAAUUUUGUCAUCUGAAGCAUUAUAGUGAGUUUUUGUAUAGUUUGGUUUUUGCUGAUAAAAGUGGUUUGUUUAUUGGUUACUGAUGGUUGGUUAUUCUAGGAGUUGAUUUAACUUAAUUAAGCAUUUGUUCUGGUGUGUUUAAGUAGUAUUCUUCAUACCGGGACGGAUGGAAUUUAUCUAAAGGAUUUUUAUGCCCAGCAGGAGAACUACAGAGGGAGGUGGCACACGAGAUUCAACCAGGAGACUGGAUCUGGGUCCAAUCGCUAAAGAGAAAAAAAAGUGGAAGCAGCCUCGGUGGGAGGGACCAUUCCAAGUACUACUGGUGACUGCCUUCGCUGUGAGAAUAGCCGAAAGAGCUACCUGGGUGCAUAUCACACAUUGUAAGAGGGUGAGUCACACAGCACUGUCGGACGUUCGCAGGAGUUGGAGAGGAACCGUGACCCAUAUGGAACGGGGGUCAAACUCCUUCUGAAGAUUCCCUAUACCUGACCUUUCCCCAGCUGUGAGCGUUCAUAGAAGUGAAGUGAUGGCUUGGCCUCUGGCUGUUGAUAUGUUCUCGGGGAGAGGGUGGGGCUUCACGUGCGCACUGACCGUCCUGAGCUGUUUUAUUGUGGGGGCCAUAUUCCUGGUUCACCAUGGUCCCCCGGAAAGUGCCAAAGAGGAUAAUUUGACUCAUGUGCUAGAUGAGGGAAAUGGGAUGUUACCUAAGAUUCUCAGAAGGUCACUGAAACAAAAUAGUAAGGAAGUGAGGGUGGAAUUGGGCAAGGAUCUCUCAGUAGAAUUUUGUGUAGACCAAUUGGGGUCAUUCACCCCUUGGCAGUCUAGAACCAUGGGACUCUAUGGGAAGUAUUUGUGUAAAUCACCGUGUAAGUCGUGGAGCCAGGUCAUAGCUCACACUGAAAGGGAUGGCUACGUAAACCCAUACACUCAAUUUGGGACCAGGUGGAGUAUAGUAAGGGUUGGCGUUUUGGACUGUGUUCCCGAGCAAAGGAAGUAUUGUAUAAAGGUGCGAACUAACAUUAAGGCGGUCAAUACUCAGGACCUCGGUUAUAGUAUGUGGGCUUCGACCAGUUAAGUUAUAGAGGUGGAGACUGGGUUUGGGGAGUCCAACUUAUGGUUGGAAUGGAUUCAAUAUACGGCCAGAUCAGUGGCUAAAGAAGAAUGUUAUGUCUGUGCAAACGCUAAACCCCAGUUAACAACUAUCCCUAUCCCACUGAACGGAAUUAAUUCCCCUAAGGGAAUGGCAUGUAUGGUAAAGCUGUUCAUGAAAGCAGGAAUGCCAGAUAAUGACAGUUGUAAAAUGGGCCAGUGUCGCCAUCUGGUGGUUGUGCGGGGGAAUGAGUUUGACUGAUUGGACUGGUUAGGAAUGCAUUUUACACUCAUACAACACCAAGACAUGAAGUUAGCCAAACGAGAGAAAAGAGAUGCUCCAUCUGGGUCUUUUGACGACAGAGUAUAUAUUGAUAACAUUGGGGUUCCACGAGAGGUGCCGGAUGAGUUCAAGGCAAGAAAUCAGAUACUAGCAGGAUUAGAGUGGUCUACUCUCAAUAAGAAUGUAGACUGGAUUAAUUAUAGUUACCAGAAGGGUUAUUAAAGGGUUUGUAGAACAGACUGAAGCAAUCAGCUGGAAGACCUGACAGAACAGAAUUGCAUUAGAUAAAAGGAGAAAGUGGGCGUGGUAAUCGGGACCGUGUCUUACAUCCCAGGUAGCACAGCUCCGGACGAAUCAGUGCCCGAAGCCUCAGCUGUUUUGACCACCCUGGCUCACAGGUUGGCAGAAACUCUGGGGUGGAUACUUCUCUGAACUAAAUUGGGUAGACAGUAUUUAUGGAAAAAUGUGCUGUUAUGGGCCACUUUAACCGGUGUGACUGUGUUAGUCUUGUACGUACGUGGUUGAUUGCGUGUAUGUAUGAAAGUUAUUGUUUCCAGGACUCUGGAGAGAUCAAUGACACUACAGAUUCCAGAUUCCAGGUUCUGACCCAUGGAGGACUGAAGGCAUGUCUACAGAGGAAGUGGACGAAUCCGGAUCUGUCAUUUGUGGGGAAUUUAUGUUUGAUGAGAAUAGUGUUGAGAUGUAGGGGAAUUGGAUUGUAAUUUGUUUCAAUGAUUAAACUGUUUUUUAAUAAAGAUUGUAAAAAGAAAAAAUAUCCUGAAAGAGGAGUUAUGAUUCUGAUGCAGGUUUAAAAACAGUUGGAGUUAAGGUUAGAAUUGAUUAAUUGAAAUGUGGAGAGUUGGAUAAACAUUUAUAAUUGAUUUGUUGAUUAUUUGUCUAUUCAUAUGAUAAUCUGAUAAACCUCUAUAAAAAGGUUAAUUAAGUUCGUUUAUACUUUCAUUUUUUAUGAUUAAAUAAAACUAGAUGUAGAAUUGAAUGUAUAAUAUUUGAUCAAAGGGAGGAUUGAUAGAGGAAAAUAUAGUUUAGAUAAUCAAUUAUGUAUACAUUAAUGAUUAGAACCAUUCAUGCUAAUACUUAUGUUAUGAUUUGAAAAGUAUGGGUUCUUAAUUGUACUGUUACUGAAAAUGUAAGCAGAAAUGAAUUGUGUUUGUGUCUCCUGAGAAAGGGAUAAGAUCGUUUUUCAAACUGAUGAGAAUGUUUUGGUUGGAUUCCAUUAGGGGAGAGGAGUUUAUCCUUUAGACAGGUUGGAAUGUAGAGUUAACGUGGGAGCGAGGCUGUGGCGGUCCGACAGAUAAGAAAUGUCUGGGAGACGUUCCAGGCCUGAUGAACAAUGGGCUCUUGUGAGAAUCAGAGAGAGGGUGUAACUGAUGACGUCAUUUUAUGUUCACUUUCUUUAAAAUGUAAUGUUCUUUGUAUUUUGGGUCAGUACUCAUCAAGAAUAAAUGCUGAACUUGUUUUUAA